AUUGAACGCUGGCGGCAGGCCUAACACAUGCAAGUCGAACGAGUGGCGGACGGGUGAGUAAUGUCUGGGAAACUGCCCGAUGGAGGGGGAUAACUACUGGAAACGGUAGCUACUACCGCAUACCAUCGGAUGUGCCCAGAGGGGAUUAGCUAGUUGGUGGGGUAAAGGCUCACCCAGGCAACGAUCCCUAGCUGGUCUGAGAGGAGGACCAGCCAGACUGGACCUGAGACACGGUCCAGACUCCUAAGGGAGGCAGAAGUGGGAGAUAUUGCACAAUGGGCGCAAGCCGGAUGCAGCCAGGCCGAUUGGAGGAAGAAGGCCUUCGGGUUGUAAAGUACUUUCAGCGGGGAGGCGUUACCCGCAGAAGAAGCACCGGCUAACUACGUGCCAGCAGCCGCGGUAAUAC
rnacentral:rRNA from 1 species